rnacentral:lncRNA from 1 species
GGACACGUGGGCUUCUGCUAUUGGACUUUCGAAAAUGUGGGACCCACAAUCAAAUUAAAAAAAUUAAAUAACAAAAGCCAUGUAACGACAUUUGAAGGGAGAGGUUAAUUGCAUCGAUUUUGGGACAUCAAGGGCUUAGUUGAUCCAAUGUCGAGUAGGGUAUACGCUCUAGAGGUGUCCACAUUAGGGAUGUAAUUGCUACUUAACUCUAGAAAAAAAAAANAAUUCCACUAAAAUAAAAAAAUUGAAAAUUGAUUAUACUUACCAUUUUAUUCUUUACAUAAAAAAAACUUAAAAACUAUUUAAUUCUAUGCUAUUCGGGAGUUCUC